rnacentral:rRNA from 1 species
AGUGCAGCAGUCGAGAAUCUUCCACAAUGGGGGAAACCCUGAUGGAGCGACGCCGCGUGCGGGAUGAAGGCCCUAUGGGUUGUAAACCGCUGUUCAGUGGAAAGAACAUCCUUCCGGCUGAAUAGGUCGGAGGCCUGACGUUACCACUGCAGAAAGUCCCGGCCAACCUCCGUGCCAGCAGCCGCGGUAAUACGGGGGGGGACGAGCGUUGUCCGGAAUCAUUGGGCGUAAAGGGCGCGUAGGCGGCGAGGAAAGUCGAAUGUGGAAAUCUUGCGGCUCAACUGCAAAACUGCGUUCGAAAACUUCCUCGCUUCGAGUAUGAGAGAGGUGUGCGGAAUUCCUGGUGUAGCGGUGGAAUGCGUAGAUAUCAGGAGGAACACCGGUGGCGAA